rnacentral:piRNA from 1 species
CGCAAGGGAAAGGAAAAGAAGGAAGA